GGGCCUUAUCACUUUGAAAUACCGGUUCCCGUACGAUUACCGAAGUUAAGCAACGGUGAGCCUGGCCAUAACAAAGAUGGGUGACCGGUUGAGAAUACCAGGUGCUAUA